AGGAAAGUCUAAUCCUUUGUAAAUAAACGCGUAGUGUUGUGAAUGCGAUAGCGUUUAGCGCUUAGGCAAGUGAGUGGGAUAACGGAUCUUAUCUCUCUCGCAAGAGAACGAAAGCGUUUGCCCCUCCGAGGUUUGUUUGAGGAUAAGGUUUAAUAUAUUGAUUAUUGCUUGAUUUUUAUCCAGGGAAAAUUGCUGCGGGGUGAAAUACUUCACUCAACUAAAUUUAGCUUACCGCU
rnacentral:RNase_P_RNA from 1 species